rnacentral:rRNA from 1 species
UACGGAAGGGGCAAGCGUUGUUCGGAAUCAUUGGGCGUAAAGGGCGCGUAGGUGGCUCUGUAUGUCUACCGUGAAAGCAUACAGCUCAACUGUAUUUUGUCGGUAGAAACUGCAGGACUUGAGGCUGGGAGGGGCUGGUGGAAUUCCCUGUGUAGCGGUGAAAUGCGUAGAGAUGUGGAGGAACACCGAUGGCGAAGGCGGCAUACUGGACCACUUCUGACGCUGAGGCGCGAAAGCCAGGGGAGCAAACGGG